UUUCCGUAGGCGAACCUGCGGAAGGAUCAUUAUCGUACAAAAUGUGAGGGGCAUGCGAGGGCUGUCGCUGACCCAAAAGUCGUGCACGCCCGAGUGUGUCCUCUUGCAUAAUAAUCCAUCUCACCCUUUGUGCAUCACCGCGUGGGCACCCUUCGGGAUCAUCUCGGAGGGUGGCUCGCGUUUUCACACAAACCCCCCUUUUAAAAGUGUAGAAUGACCACAUUUAUGCAAUCAAUACAACUUUCAACAACGGAUCUCUUGGCUCUCGCAUCGAUGAAGACCGCAGC
rnacentral:misc_RNA from 1 species